GCAUUCUACAAUUAUUUGGCUUAGUUGAGUUGAUCUGAACUUGACACAUUGUUUGGAAAACAGAGUGACUAGAAAGUUUAAUGUUGGAUCAGUGGGGAAAAUGGAUAAUUCUGUUGUUAAUUCUAGCAAUGCAUUGAAAAUUCAGGACUAUAGUUCUGUGUGGUUGAUGGAGAACAUGGUCUGAUUGAGAUGAGAAUUUAUGAAUUGUUGGAGCAGAAUCUGAGCCUUGAAGGACUCAAUUAAGGCUAGGGAUCUGUUACUAACAUGUCUGUUGAGAAUUUUUUGAAUUGUGAGUCUUACUUGAAUAGAUAUAUCUGGUUGAUGGGAUGUUCAGGAUUCACAACCUUUUUCUAUUCUGCUGUGUUUAUUUUUUAGCUGAUUAGACCAAUUUUCAUUUUGAUAGGAAGACUAAGCCAAUUUCUAAAUAUGCUUACUCUGGAAUGUUAUGGAAGCAUUCUGAUUCAAAGGGAUUAAAUUAUCGAGCAAAAGAAAAAGAAAAUAUAAGCUAUGUGGAAUUAUCCCCCUAUAUGUGCUUGUGAAACAAUAUGAACACUGUUUUUCUCCCUGUCAUCAACUGAGGUUCCAAACAGUGGAAUCUCUUAAGUGACCACGUUAAGCAUUCCUACUUUGUUGUUUGUGCAAUUCUUGGCUACAUCUUAAGUUUAAAUCUGUUUGAACGAUCUUAUACUUUCAAGGGAACAUGGCUCCUGUUUACCCUGGAAAUGAACAGUGUUUGAAAGAAAUGGAGAAAAGAGGAAAA